GGAGAGAUGGCUGAGUGGACGAAAGCGCACGAUUGGAAAUCGUGUAUACUCUGAAAGGGGUAUCGAGGGUUCGAAUCCCUCUCUCUCCACCA
rnacentral:tRNA from 1 species